GGAGCUUCACGAAUUUGAGAAAAAAGGUGGCGGCUAGGGUUUCCUAGAUCUAAAUUUGUGGGAUUUAAUAGGGCUUUGAAGGAUUUGGUUUGAAGAGAUAGAAAGAGGAGGUUGGGGUGAGUGUAUAAUAAUAAUUUGGGGUUGGUCACUAGUGCUCCGCCGCCGCGUGGCGAAUUCCGACGAGAGGCGCCGCUGUGGACGCCUUGCGGCAGUAGAGAGGAGAGAGUGAGGAGAAGAGUUUAGG
rnacentral:lncRNA from 1 species